ACAGUAGCCGACGCUUUAUAAAUUGAAGUAGCCUGCGCACUGCUUACUCAAACUUGAAACACAUGAACAUUUGAGAGAACCUAGUCGCGCGAUUUGAUGACGUUGUCAACAAUAUCACCGGUCACUGCUAGAAUGGAUACGAUUUUGUAAAAGUGACGCCACAGUCCCGUUUGUGCCAAUCGAGUUGCAUCAGGUAUAGUAUUUUACUUGUCUACAAGAUUUAGAAGACAGUCUGGGCCAUUAUAAACAGGAGACAAGGACCACAUUUGUUGUAAACAAAAAUGAUAAACCGUCUGCACAGAAGGAUCUCGCAUCAUGAAAAAACUUGCAUUGGGAACUAAAAUAUGUUCCCUAUGACAGAACCCCCUUCCUGGUGGUCGGGAGGAGAACCUACGCCUGCCACCAGGGCGAGGAUAAACAUGCGAGUGAUAAGAAGAGGGAAGCAGAAAUGAACAGGAGGCCGAGGAGAAAAGCACAAUACCAAGAGGCUGAGAACAAGGUAAAACAAGGUGAAGAGAAAGGCGAGCACAUUUAGGGGAGAGGAGUGGUGAGUCAAAAGAGGGGAGGGAAGAGAAAAAAGGAAGAGAAUAGGGGUGGAUAGGGUACGACUUUAUAUUAGGUAAGGGUUCCACUCUUUUAAAGACUUCCAGUUAUUUGUUGUUUUUAAAGGGGGAAAAAUAAAAAUGAAAUUAAGCAGCCAA